rnacentral:rRNA from 1 species
GACGAACGCUGGCGGCGUGCUUAACACAUGCCAGUCGAACGGAAAGGCCCUGCGUUUGUGGGGUGCUCGAGUGGCGAACGGGUGAGUAACACGUGAGUAACCUGCCCUUGACUUUGGGAUAACUUCAGGAAACUGGGGCUAAUACCGGAUAGGAGCUCCUGCUGCAUGGUGGGGGUUGGAAAGUUUCGGCGGUUGGGGAUGGACUCGCGGCUUAUCAGCUUGUUGGUGGGGUAGUGGCUUACCAAGGCUUUGACGGGUAGCCGGCCUGAGAGGGUGACCGGCCACAUUGGGACUGAGAUACGGCCCAGACUCCUACGGGAGGCAGCAGUGGGGAAUAUUGCACAAUGGGCGGAAGCCUGAUGCAGCAACGCCGCGUGCGGGAUGACGGCCUUCGGGUUGUAAACCGCUUUCGCCUGUGACGAAGCGUGAGUGACGGCAAUGGGUAAAGAAGCACCGGCUAACUACGUG